AAUUCGUAAUCUUCCGCUUCACAUCCACGGCCUUGGCCUUCACAUUCGCCUCCUGAAUCCCAUCGAGACACGUCUCGUCAUCCGUGAGGGCGGCGCUCAGCCACGUCUGGGCAUUGCUCAUCUGGAAUCGAAACGUCUCCUUCCGGAGGUGGUGCAGCUCGGCGAGCGUCUCGCUCAGCUCGUCCACCGACGUCGACAUCAGGUCCACGCAGUCGCCGAUCGCCGAGAGCUGCAGCUUCGUCCCCUUGAAGGAGGCGGAGAGCUGGGCGAGGAAGCCGGAGACGCGGAGUGAGCGGGCGAGGCUAACGUUCACAGCGGCCUGGGCGAGGUCGCGGGGGGUCUUGGCGGGGCCGGCGUAGUUGGAUAGAGUGCGGAGGCAGAUUUUGGGGUAAGUGGCGUGGCGACAUGAUGAACGGACGAUAUUUGAUGCUGGGUGGUGUUUCCCUGCGGCGGAGGCGGAGUACAGCGAGCAGAAGAGGAGGACGAGGAGAGGGAGAAGAGAGAGUAGGAAACGCAUCGAGGAGGUGAGUAGAGUGAAGAUUGAAGAGUGUGGAAUUAAUCUGUGGCAGUGUUAGUCUGGUCGCUGGGGGGUGAGAGGUUGGGUAUAUAUAGGGGGCGUCUGUAGUGAACCAGUGACAGUGGGAAAGUAAACGGGCAAAUCUCCGUUUUAGACUAGGAAUGUUUAACAUUAGGUUAGCCUUGCCUUCCAAUAUCUUUCUAUUCGUUUAGAUAUACUUUUAAAAUAAUUGAAAACGUUUUUAGUGAAAAUAUUUUUAGAUUCCAAAAGCAUUUUAAGUGAUUUCUGCAAUAAACACUAAUUAUGUGCUUCUUUCAAGAAACACUUUAAGUAAUUUUUCAGGAUUCACUUGUAUUUUUACUAAGGAUUGAUUCAAAAAAUAUUAUCACCAAAAAUACUUUCAGUUAUUUUAAAAGCACAUCCAAACUAGCCUUUAAUAGUUUAAUACAAAACAUAGAUCACGUUAAUGUUUUUAAACUAAACUGCUUUAACAGAAGAAAAUAUAAAAAGAAAACAAAGAAUAUUGACAUUCAUAUUUUGCUGUCCGAUCAAGGAAUGAUUAAAAUAACUUUUUAUAUAUAGCGUCAUUCAAUAAUUCACUCAGGACAUUCGAAGAUAUAUUUUUAUCGGUUCACAAUUUCCUUACUUUUGUAAUCUUCUUUCCAAUAUGAGGUUUGGUUUUUCUCGUUUUUCUUUGUAUUGAUUCCAUCUAGGUAUUAUUCUUCUCGAUCACAUCUUAUUGGUCACUUCAUUUGAUUUUGAAUCAUUAAAACCUGUAUUGCUAUUUCUUAUUUACAGAGGAUAAACAACCCAAAAUCCUAGCCAUGCUCUUCUUUUUUUUCAACGUACAUUCAUUAAUAAGAACAUCAUUCAUCAUGAAUACAAUUCAGUGAUUACAAAUGCAACAAAAAGACAAUACAAAUUUUACCCCAUAUAACCGUAAAUCUAACCAAACGGAAGGAUAACACUCAUAAAGACAAAAUCUUGCUUCACUUUCUUAAUAACUUGCAAAAGACGACGCUCAUUCGACAAAUAAGUCAUGCUACGAGACAUCACGGAGAUGUCUUCAUAGUCCUUUGCCAAAAAAAACAACAAACAACGAAACCACAACCAAAACAAAAUAAACUCUUCAAAGGUACGAUUCCUCAAUCAUGGGAUACCCGCACCUAACUAACAAGAAAGAUAAGCUCGCAAUGCCUAAACCCAAUGAGCCGGCUGGACCUAACACCAUCAAGACUCGCAAGGUAAACAUCCUACCAUCACCUGAAGAAUUUGCAACGACAAUAAAACAUGAUUGUGAAUCCCUCAAACCACUGCAACAACCCCUCAAACGAAAGACCACACCACCCUUUGAUGACAAGACUCGCAGGGUAAACAUCCAACCAUCACCUGAAGAAUUUGCAACGACAAUAAAACAUGAUUGUGAAUCCCUCAAACCACUGCAACAACCCCUCAAACGAAAGACCACACCACCCUUUGAUGAUCUUCAAAUAGUCAACAAUCUUACUAUGAGUCACCUCCAACAAACGUGAGCUUCUUCCCAUAAUCCUUGCCAAAAGCACAAACCACAAAAUCACCACUUCAAAUUUGAACAACAAAUAUCACUUUUAAAAUCUGAAGUUGAGUAAUAAGUUAUUACCGCAACAAAAACUCUCAUCCUCAACUAUAAAAACUCUCCGCGACAAAACAAGCAAAAAAUAUGACUUUUCUCUUGGCGUCCGAGUAUCACCUCCUCCCUUUUCCAUUAUGGUGCGUUUCCUUUCCCUAUCUCGGUUUACUUUGUAUUGAUACCGUCUCCUGUAUCAAGAGAAGAAUACAUUACUAUCUAGUUAUUAGUCUUCUCCAUCACUUCUUCAUCGUCACUUCAAUCACAUCUUAACCGUCACUAAAUCGUUGAAUUUUUUUUUUUUUUUUCAAAAACCUACCCACGAUUUCACUCUCUAAUAUUGUUCUUGAAUUUAAAGUUGAAGACAUUAUUUCAAGUUUCAACCACUUCCCGUAAUUCAACCAACCCAUGUCUACAUUGUCCACGUAGAGAUUUCCAUCACCAGACUAUGUACUAUUUUAGAAUGAUAAAUUAAAUGGCAGUAUUGCUAUUUUUGUAGUGCUCAAGUGUCUUUUCUUGUUUAUGGAAUAGUCCUUACCAACAAUGAAGAUCAAAGUAACACUCAAACCGACAUUGACAGCUAUAACGAGUGCUUUUAUAAGACGCACUUCUGUUUAUAUAAAUUCCUUAAACCCAAUUAAAUUGCAUUUUUUGUGUUUUCUUCAAUUAACUUUACAUUUUUAUUUCAAAUGUUAUAUGAUAAAUGGUUUUGAUUUUUUCAAAAAGCUUUUUUUUAAACAAAACGAUAGUAUUUACACUAAGAGAAAUGAUGUGGGCUUAGUCUCACAAUGAGCAGGCAAAAUGUGGUUCAAAUUCGCCUUUAGCGAAAAUCAAACCUAAAACCUCUCGCUUACAAGUAAAUAACGUUUUUAAUCUUUCUAAAAGCACUAACAAACAAAUAUUAGUUAUUUCAAACAUGUAAUAGGGAAUUUAAGCGCCCCGAUUUGUGGCUAUUUUGCCUAGUUUUGGGGACCAGUGAAGGAGAUCCAAAUAAAUGCCCUGGUAGAAUAGCUCACCUUUCAGCCCAUCACCAACCAACUAAAAUAUGCAAACGUGUAUGUAUUAACCAAUAACCAAAGUCCACGACCAUCAUGUACGGUGCAAGCGCACCCUCUUACUUUGCUCCUCUCUCUAAUGGCGUUGUGUCACCAAUUUGUUUUCAAGUUUGUAACCAAGUGGUAUUCAAUACGUGAGGGGAACAAACGAAGACGGAUAUCCUAUUUUUCGGGAACAUAUAUCAUCGGCGACGUCUCCAAACUAAUCAUAAAUAACUGAGAGUCGUCCACCAACACGUAAACAACAAGAUCUAGAAUGCAUGAUUUACUAAAACAUAUAUAUGUAUUGUACAGUAUGAACACAUAAGCUCUAGCUUGUACACUAGAAACAAUGCGUCGAUCAAUGAGAUUGAUUGGCAUGGUUUAACCCUGCAAGAAACGUUGGCGUAAAACUUUUGAUUUUAUUUUUUAUGUUGCAGUAUUCAUUAAUCAUGCUUAUCAUUUAAAGACGUCAACAUUUAUUUAUUGAAAUAAGUCUGAUGAGAGAACGUUAUCUGUUUAAAAUUGUUGGGACUUCACAACUAAUUAUUUGAUGUGUUAUAGAUUAAUGAGAUGUAUUAGAAUUCGAAAAGCUUCGUAUUUGCACGAAAGAAUGUGAUGGGGUGGUGGGAGUUUGAUGGGGAAACAUGGGACCCUUGAUUUUUCAGGAAUUAUUUGCUGAAUUCCGAUAAGAAACGAAACCUUGUGAGCCCAGCAGAGCAGCAUUCCCAAGAAUUGGACAUGUAAGUGGUGAAAGUUCUGAAACAAAGCAUGUGAAUUGCAGUCUGGAAUCCGCUAUAAAAAUUCCUACCCCACUCUUUAAAUUGCACGAUGUUUAUAUAUAUAAUAUGUCAAUAUCUUAGGAUUUGUUUGUAAAUGUUUUUAAAAUGAUUAAAAUCGUUUUUUGUGAAAUUAUUUUUGGAUUCCAAAACCACAUGAAAUUCUUCUUACAAAAAACAUAUAAUUGGUGUUUCUUGCAGAAAGCACUUCAAAUAUUUUUUCAAGAUUCACUUAUAUUUUUACUAAAAAUUGGUUCCAAAAACACUUUUAAAGAAAUUGCUUUCAUCAUUUUAAAAACAAUUUCAAACUAACAUUUAUUUAUUUGAUAAACACAUUAUGCGCUGUCAAUUUCUGUAGGAAAUUUCAUCAAACUUGUCUUCACAAGUUUUGGUAAACACAAACUAACUAAAACUCGUGGGGAUAAGAAGUAUAGAGAUGAAAUGUAGAGAACCUGUGGGAAAGAAAUUCUAUAUGUACUAAAACCCGUGGAGAAAUCAAUGUAGCUUAGUAACAGUGCAUUUCCAGUUUUACACCCGCUUAUUUCAACUUCGCCCCGUUUGCUUCCUUCUUCUAUGCUCCUCCCCCCUCGUGUAAUAUGCCAAACCUUCAUCUUCAACUCGACCUCCCCCUUCACAAACUCCCUCCGGUCCCUUUUCUCUAUAAAUUGUAAUCACCGCCACCACCAGUUCGCUCAAACUUUGUCUAUAAAGCCUCUUUAAAUGCACAAGAAUUGAGAUUUUUGUAUCAUCAACAACAAAGACAUGAAAGUUGUCGCAAGAAAGAAGAUUACCUGACAAAGAGGAGGUUUUCUUGGAUUCUCAUCGUCUCUUGGGCCACCACUUCCACCUUCAUUUCCAGGUGCCUUUUAGGACCUGAUGUUGAACAGAAAUGAUGCCAACCGAAAGCAUUGUAACUUUCCCAUUCAACGUUGCCACGUUGAAGGCAAUAACGACGAGAAAUUUUUGAAGUCAAGCAAGAAAUCAAUGGCUUCUCCCGCAUAAAAAGCAUUUUUCUCACUCUCUUUUACAGUGGAAGAAGCUAUUGAUUUCUUUCUUGGCUUCGACAGUAUCUUCAAAAAUUUCUCCGCCGUUGUUGCCUUCAACAUGGGGACGUUGAAUGGGAAAGUUCCAUUAUCGAGGGGUGUUUUCUGUUCAAUAUUAUGGGGUCCGCAAAAAUGCACCCUGAAAAUGAAGGUGUUGGUGGUGAUCCAAGAGACGAUGGAAAUCCAAGAAACCUCCUCUUUUUUAGGUUAUCUUUUUUCUUGCUAUUAUUUUCAUGUCUUUUGCUGUUGAUCAUGCAAAAAUCUCAUUUUUCACGACUAAAGCUUGUAAGCACAAGGCCAUAUUAGAUGACUUGUAUGUCUGAGACUCUGAAUUGCCGUUACUAAACUUGUGAUUGCAAGAGAGAAAAUUGUUUAUUGGGCCGGCAAUGCCGUGGAAAAAAACAAAACUUCAUGAAAAAAUAUAUUCUCCCAUCACACUAAUUAUGUUUCUGAAAUGAAUGUGUGAAACAACUGUGAUCUUUAGUCAAUGCAAUUCUUAUCUUUUAAGUUUCAAGAAUUUCUGUAAAGCUUAGUAUUUGUGAAAAUAAUUCAAGUGUUUUUUUUUUUUGUGCAAAAAAUUAUUUUUUAUUUAAUUUUUUUUAUUUGGUUUUCACCUGAUAAAAUCGUUUGACAGCACCAGGCUACCAGCUACAUGCCAGGAGGCCCAGUUCAAAAUCUGUGGCGUGUGAGUUGUUUGAUAAAAGGUAGAGUGAAGAUAGGACAAUACUUGCGUUUCACGAAACAGUUGAUCUAAUUAUUAAAUAUAUUGUCACUUAGUACUACAGUAUAAUAGUAUUUCUCUUCACUUGUAAGUAAGAUGUAUUAGGUUUGAUUCUCACCAAAAACAAAUUUGAACCUUUGGUGAAUUUGAACUAUAUUAUUGCUAGUCUCUUGUGAAGCUAACCUCACUCUUCUCUUCCUUAAUGUAGAUAAUAUUGUUUGUUGAAAAAAAAAAAAGGCUAUUGAGCAUAUUGUAUUCACAAAUUGGG
rnacentral:lncRNA from 1 species